AGUGAAGCGGGAUGAGCUCAAAUUUAAAAUCUGGCUGGUUUACUAGUCCGAGUUGUAGUUUAAAGAAGCGUUUUCGGUGGCAGUCUCGGUAUAAAUCCUUUGGAAUAGGGUAUCAUAGAGGGUGAGAAUCCCGUCUUUGACUGAGAAUAUGCUACUAUGUGAUACGUUUUCAAAGAGUCGAGUUGUUUGGGAAUGCAGCUCAAAAUGGGUGGUAAAUUUCAUCUAAGGCUAAAUAUUGGCGAGAGACCGAUAGCGAACAAGUACCGUGAGGGAAAGAUGAAAAGAACUUUGAAAAGAGAGUUAAACAGUGCGUGAAAUUGUUAAAAGGGAAACGCUUGAAACCAGUCAUGCGGUUGGGAAAUCAGUCUCUGACAAGGGGGAAUGGGAGAGGUGUGGACCGCAAGGCCGCUCUUUUUCAUAUCUUUCGUGGCAGGGAUGCACUUUUUCUUCUGCAGGUCAACAUCAGUUUGCUUUGCCGGACAAAACUCUUGGAAAGGUGAUAGCUUAGGCUAUGUUAUAGUCCAAGAGCGAUACGGUGGAGCGGACUGAGGCUUUCGCAGCAUGUGCUCUCGGGCAAGGCUGAUUGGGUGCUAUGGGAUCGUUCAGAGUACAAUACAUGUAUUUUGCUUUGUGUCUUUUCUAUACUCGCUCAACUCGGCUCUUCCAUGCUUAGGAUGUUGACAUAAUGGUUCUAAUCGACCCGUCUUGAAACACGGACCAAGGAGUCUAACAUAUAUGCAAGUGUUUGGGUGGCAAACCCAUGCGCGUAAUGAAAGUGAACGUAGGUGCCAUCCGCAAGGUGCAGCAUCGACCGAUCUUGAUAUUUUUGGAUAGAUUUGAGUAAGAGCAUAUAUGCUGGGACCCGAAAGAUGGUGAACUAUGCCUGAAUAGGGUGAAGCCAGAGGAAACUCUGGUGGAGGCUCGUAGCGAUUCUGACGUGCAAAUCGAUCGUCAAAUUUGGGUAUAGGGGCGAAAGACUAAUCGA
rnacentral:rRNA from 1 species